rnacentral:rRNA from 1 species
GACGAACCGUGCGAACGUUGUUCGGAAUCACUGGGCUUAAAGGGCGCGUAGGCGGGCCGCCGCGUCCGGGGUGAAAUCCUCCCGCUCAACGGGAGAACGGCCUCGGAUACGGGCGGCCUGGAGGCGGGUAGGGGCACGCGGAACUGUGGGUGGAGCGGUGAAAUGCGUUGAGAUCCACAGGAACUCCGGUGGCGAAGGCGGCGUGCUGGACCCGAUCUGACGCUGAGGCGCGGAAAGCCCAGGGGGAGCGAACGGG